UCGCAAUCCGCCAACCGGUCGAGCCGUGUCGCGGAAGGUUUCUCAACCAGCCAAUGCCCUGGAAGCCGGGGUUAGAGGUGAGCG
rnacentral:ncRNA from 1 species